GUGAGGAAUUUUCCGCAAUGGGCGAAAGCCUGACGGAGCAAAGCCGCGUGAAGGAUGAAGGCCUAUGGGUUGUAAACUUCUUUUCUCAGAAAAGAAUUAUGACGGUAUCUGAGGAAUAAGCAUCGGCUAACUCUGUGCCAGCAGCCGCGGUAAGACAGAGGAUGCAAGCGUUAUCCGGAAUGAUUGGGCGUAAAGCGUCUGUAGGUUGUUUAAAAAGUAUUCUGUCAAAGAUUAGGGCUUAACCCUAGAUAGGCAGAAUAAACUUUUAAGCUAGAGUUUGGUAGAGGCAGAGGGAAUUCCCGGUGGAGCGGUGAAAUGCGUAGAUAUCGGGAGGAACACCAAAGGCGAAGGCACUCUGCUGGGCCAAUACUAACACUGAGAGACGAAAGCGAGGGGAGCAAAUGGGAUUAGAUACCCUGGUAGUCC
rnacentral:rRNA from 1 species